rnacentral:rRNA from 1 species
GAUGAACGCUGGCGGCGUGCCUAAUACAUGCAAGUCGAGCGAACGGACGAGAAGCUUGCUUCUCUGAUGUUAGCGGCGGACGGGUGAGUAACACGUGGAUAACCUACCUAUAAGACUGGGAUACCUUCGGGAAACCGGAGCUAAUACAGGCUAAUAUUUUGAACCGCAUGGUUCAAAAGUGAAAGCCGGUCUUGCUGUCACUUAUAGAUGGAUCCGCGCUGCAUUAGCUAGUUGGUAAGGUAACGGCUUACCAAGGCAACGAUGCAUAGCCGACCUGAGAGGGUGAUCAGCCACACUGGAACUGAGACACGGUCCAGACUCCUACGGGAGGCAGCAGUAGGGAAUCUUCCGCAAUGGGCGAAAGCCUGACGGAGCAACGCCGCGUGAGUGAUGAAGGUCUUCGGAUCGUAAAGCUCUGUUAUUAGGGAAGAAAACAUGUGUAAUUAACUGUGCACAGCUUGACGGUACCGAAACAGAAAGCCACGGCUAACUACGUG